rnacentral:rRNA from 1 species
UACGUAGGGUGCAAGCGUUAAUCGGAAUUACUGGGCGUAAAGCGUGCGCAGGCGGUGAUGUAAGACAGUUGUGAAAUCCCCGGGCUCAACCUGGGAAUGGCGAUGAAGACUGCAAGGCUAGAAUCUGGCAGAGGGGGGUAGAAUUCCACGUGUAGCAGUGAAAUGCGUAGAGAUGUGGAGGAACACCGAUGGCGAAGGCAGCCCCCUGGGUCAAGAUUGACGCUCAUGCACGAAAGCGUGGGGAGCAAACAGG